UUCCAUGAAUCCGUGGGACCUGCUGCUUGUAGCUGACUCCCUUCCUAGCCAUGGAAUAGAACACCUCACUCUUC
ensembl:snoRNA